CGGGAGAGGGGACAAGAAGCGCUUGUGCUGGCGGGCAGCGCUAGGGGACAAGUUGCAGUUGCUUCCCAUUUGAUAACUCUAUGAACUUUUGGAUGUCAGCGGUAUAACAAGUCAAUGGAGAAGAGAUGAAUCCCUUUCUAGAACUCUGAUGGAAAGGACUCCUGGCUCAGACUCCACCUCUUGAUUUUGAGGUCCAUCCCCUCAAGCCAGAGGAUUGGGCACCAAUAAAGUCCCUGUAGAAAGAAAAGCUGCAUCCCAGCUGGGGAGGGCCUUCCCGGAUUCUCCUCAUUGCUGCAACUGCCCUAUAAAAACUACUGAACACAGUUGGACUGAUUACUCCAAGGUACAAGGUGAAGAAACUGAGGUGACCUCAUUUCUUCUGACCCUGUAACGUCUUCUCUUGAGUUAUGUCUCUCACACGUGAUGAUAACCCUGCCUGGUCUCCUGUGGAAAGGUACCAGAGACUUGUAGCUUGGUUGUUUGAUCCUUGGUGUUUGGGAAUAGAUUGGGAGAUGAAGUGGAUGCAGUGGGAUGAGAUGAACCAUAAUGGAACCAGAAUUCCCCUGAAGGAAAUUUGCUGGGAAUCACAGGGACCUUUGCAAGAUCCUUCUUCCUUUAGGCUUAUUUGUGUA